rnacentral:tRNA from 1 species
GGUGCUAUAGCUCAGUGGCAGAGUGCUUACCUAGCAUGUGUGAGGCACUGGGUUCGAUCCUUAGCACCA